CGGACUCUUACGGGAGCCGAACUUCGCCCUCGGCUUCAAUCGAAAAAAACUCCUUCCGGACUCUUACGGGAGCCAGAACCUCGUCCCCAACUUCGACCGCUAGUAAGUUCCAUCCGGGAGCCAGAUUUCACCUCUGACUUCAAUUGCAGGUAAACUCCGUUCGGACUCCCACAGGAGCUGGACUUCACCCCGACUUCGCUUACGGGAGCCGGACUCCCGUAGCCCCACC
rnacentral:lncRNA from 1 species